CCUGGUGGCUCAGAUGGUAGAGCAUCUGCCUACAAUGUGGGAGACCCAGGUUCAAUCCCUGGGUCAGGA
rnacentral:tRNA from 1 species